AACGGCGAGUGAAGAGGAAAGAGCUCAAAGUUGGAACCUGUUUGGCUUAGCUAAACCGGAUUGUAAACUGUAGAAGUGUUUUCCUGACACGCCUGGUAAAAAAGUCCUUUGGAACAGGGCAUCAUAGAGGGUGAGAAUCCCGUGUUUGGCCAGAGCUGUUGUCUUUUGUGAUACAUUUUCAAAGAGUCAGGUUGUUUGGGAAUGCAGCCUAAAUUGGGUGGUAAAUCUCACCUAAAGCUAAAUAUUUGCGAGAGACCGAUAGCGAACAAGUACCGUGAGGGAAAGAUGAAAAGAACUUUGAAAAGAGAGUUAAACAGUAUGUGAAAUUGUUAAAAGGGAACCGUUUGGAGCCAGACUGGCUUGACUGUAAUCAAUCUAGGCUUCGGCCUGGAUGCACUUGCGGUUUAUGCCUGCCAACGACAAUUUUUUUUGAGGGAAAAAACUAUUAGGAAUGUGGCCCCCUUCGGGGGGUGUUAUAGCCUUUUAGAAAAUACCUUGAAUUGGAUUGAGGAACGCAGUGAAUGCCUUUAGGCAAGAUUGCUGGGUGCUUUCGUUAAUAAAUGCUAGAAUUUCUGCCUUGGGUGGUGCUAGUGUUUAAAGAUGGAACUCGCCUGGUAUAUUUU
rnacentral:rRNA from 1 species